GCCCCCGUUGUCUAAUGGCUAUGAUAUCAGACUUCUACGGAGGGUUACUCCCCGAUGAAUCUGGGGGUUGCGGGUUCGAGUCCCGCCGGGGGUA
rfam:Trametes pubescens strain FBCC735 TRAPTBscaffold_200, whole genome shotgun sequence.